rnacentral:rRNA from 1 species
UACGUAGGGUGCGAGCGUUGUCCGGAAUUACUGGGCGUAAAGCGUGCGCAGGCGGUUGUGCAAGACCGAUGUGAAAUCCCCGGGCUUAACCUGGGAAUGGCAUUGGUGACUGUACGGCUGGAGUGUGUCAGAGGGGGGUAGAAUUCCACGUGUAGCAGUGAAAUGCGCAGAGAUGUGGAGGAAUACCGAUGGCGAAGGCAGCCCCCUGGGAUAACACUGACGCUCAUGCACGAAAGCGUGGGGAGCAAACAGG